CAUCCCUUCAUUCUUCAUAAUACUACUAAUCAAGCUGAUAGUGCUCCAUAUUUUGCACUCAAUUUGACAAAGGAAAUUAGAAUAUAGAAAAGAAAAAUCUUCAAACGAUAGACCUACUAUAACUUUUACCUUGCUCUAAGGGACAAGUGCAUCUUCCCCCAACUCCACCCUCAUCCCCAGCUGUACUUCUGUUUACUGUUCUUGAGUGAGUGGCUGAAUGACACUGGGGAGAAAACAUGCCGCUUGUUAGGCACAAACCUUUUCUCAUCAUGUUAUUGUUUUCUCAGCUCUCUAUUUCACUCAGAAAUGGAAAAAAUAUUGAACAGUGUUUCCCAGACCCACCGCUGGCUAAUAGCAUCAACUGCUAAUGUUUUGUGAAAUCUGUCUCAGUCGAUGUGGUGCAUUAAGCAGAACCCACUGCGUUAACUUUGCUCCUCUCCUGCUCUCUCCCUGUUAUUUGCCUGUGCCGCUAUCUGAAGAAGCUCUGUAGGUCCAAAGCUCUGCUUGUGCCCACUAACGGCAAUGGGAAAUGACUGCCAACUGCAUGCUGCCAUUUUCCUUUUGGUGCUGAUGUGGAUUCUUUGGCGGAUCUUCCAAAGAAAGGUCUCUGUCUCCUCUUGUUCAAGAAAGAGAGAUAGAAAUUCACCACAUGGAGCUGAUCAGCCUCUUUCCCCAGAAGGAGCUGAUGAGCCAUCUUUAGGCAGAAGCCCUCCUCCAGCCGCACCCAGAUGCCCCCUCUGUCUCCCACAGCACCCUGGGCUUGCUUCUCCAGACCAUGUGACACCCUGUGCUAAGAUUGUUCAUCUUUUGUCUGGCUUCUUGAGUGGACCAUAGCUCAUUGAAUGCAGGCAUCAUGUCUUCUCACCCGCAACGUCUCCAGUGUUGAAGCCAGAAUGCCCACAGUGCAUAGCAAGGAUUGUUGAACGCCGUGGAAAUAAGGCACUUAAAUCGCCCUUAAUUUCAAUUCAGUGGGAAGAGAUUUUCUUGAACUUUAAGAAGACUUGGGGUCAAAAGAGUUUUGAACCUCUUGUGUGUGUGUCUCCUCAAAGAGCGUAGUUCUGUCUUAAUUCAUCUGAAUCUGACAUUGAGCCUCUGGAGUUUACUAGACUCUUAAGGCGGGAAGCUCUUGGUCCACUUUUGAUGCACUGCAUUCUACAGUGGGAUGAAGCCCAUUCUUCGGGCCUCCUACUGGGUGUGCCAUGCUGAUGAGUCCACAACACUGAUCCUGUGGAUUAGUGGCAUGCCCUCACUCACAAACACCUUUGUUCCCAUGGUGACUAACGGCAUUUUGAUGGUGUCCCCUUAGACAGCUGCCUAAAUAUAAAGCAGCGUGAGCUAAAAG
rnacentral:lncRNA from 13 species